AUCUCAUAUAGAGAUUGCUGUGUUCUUAAGAAUCUUAUAGUUUUUCUGAAGGAGGGGGAGUGAGAGAGCAGUUGUGGUGAGUUUAGCAGCCCAUCAGAGUGAAACCUCCACAUAUGUCAUGACAAAAGUAUAUGUCAAGGAAACUACAACUACCCCAGCAGAAAAGGGAUCUCUGAGGUUGUGCAAGUGAAAGGUGACUAUUUCAGAUGUUAUUCUACAGAGGAAAUACUUGUGCACCUAAGUUCAAAAUUCUUGUGUCAGUAAGUAUUCUGGGAUUUCUAAGAAUCUAGAAAAGAAAAAGAGAAAUAAUCAACAUCAAUUUAAUUCCCCCUCCUGCCCCCUUUAAAAAAAAAAAAAGGAAAAAAAAACAAACACCCAACUGGUUAUGGGAUUCAGAAGAGAAUACCUGAAUCAUGGCUGAGGCGUGCUCAUUCCCAAGGCACUUGUCACCAGACUGUUGGUUCCUGAAGGAUCGCCACACCUUUGCAGCUGUCUCAUUCUCAGGUGAGACAGAUUGAUGGGUUGUGUAUGCUGGAGGAGCUCCUUUCUUUUAACACAUGACCCUGUGCUACAGGGUUAGUGAAAGCUACUGUGCUACCACAGUCAUCAGCCAGGCCCGAGCCAUGACAAACCCCACAGUGCUGGAGAACUAGGCUGAAGAUACUAUUGAUUAGCUUAAUGGUGUUGCCACUACCUUGAGUAUGGCUAUAGUUUGUGUUGUGGAUGUGCUUGCUUUUCAGCACUGGUAUCAUAAAGGUUUUUGUUGUUACUACAGGGAAGCAUGGAGAUAAAGCAAAUCACUUUAAAAGUACAUUCUGCAUACACUUGGGUAUUUCUUUUGGUGGCUCAGCUCUGUACAUAUAAUUAUGAUCCUUGAUUACAUGAACCUUAGUUUUUGUUUCUAAGACAAUCUUCUGACUUCUCACAUUGAACUCUGUAUCACACAUGUUCAGUUUAUGAAGCUUACAAGUGAGGUCUUGCAAGAAAAUAUUCUCUGCUCAUUCCAGUACUCAUUCCAGUUUUCUGUGCUCACCUAUUCUUUUGAUCUCUGAGAUGCUUCGUCUUUCUUUUUGAUGUCACAUGAAGGAGGAAGAUGAAAGAAAUGUCAAAACAGAAGAACAGGAAAAUUGAGAAAGCACAACAGCUGUGACAAGAAAAUAAUGUGAGCUUUAAUCAAUUAGCAAGAGAUACCAGAUUCUGCUACAGAUAGAAUGAUUUAAAUGUAGAGGGUGUGAAUGGCAGGGCAUAUGGCUAAAAAGAGUGAUGUAGAUAUUAGUCACUGUUCUUUAUCAGCACCCACAAAGUUUUACAGGAAGUAUCAGUCCCUUCGCAUACUUGAUUCAUGCAG